GCUGGCUUUGCUUUGGGGAGGAGAUGGGUGAGGGGCGUGCGAAAUGUCAGUUUCAGGCUUCAGGCGCAGCGGAUAAGGGGCGUCGCAGGGGAGGUCAGUUUCGUAAAUUGCUCUUAAAAAAUACUCUAUGAACCAUCAAGUGGUGGAAGGAAAGAAGGAAGAUAUUUGUUUUUGUCUUCAAUAAAAUAAACAAAUAUCUAAAAAUGGUGUGUAGGUGCAUGAUGGUGACAAGGCAACAUUAGCAGUGGGGCGCGAGGGCGAGGAUAUACCUGGAGGAUGUGGGAACGACAAAAGCAGACGGUGACGUUUUGGUGCUUUUCGGUCGCUCCCACCCUGAGACGACGGCGUUUUAUGGCUUCUUUUGUCGUUAUUGAUCUCCAUCGUCCUUUUCUUUUUUUUCAAGAAUAUGCCCGCUUCGUCCUCGCAACUCAGUAGUGGUCCCUUCUGUUAGUUUUCGUUUUUCGUUGAAAUUUGCGCCUCUCUCUGUGCGUGCGUGCGUGUGUGUGUGUGUGUGUGUGUUUUUUUUUUAACAAAAAACAGUAAAUGGAUAGGGUAUCAAUGAAAUGACGAAUGUAUCCCCCCGUUAUGGAUAAAUUUCAGAGCCAGUUGUGUGCCAUACUUGCAAAAAUGAAA
rnacentral:lncRNA from 1 species